AUUGAACGCUGGCGGAAUGCUUUACACAUGCAAGUCGAACGGCAGCACGGGGGCAACCCUGGUGGCGAGUGGCGAACGGGUGAGUAAUACAUCGGAACGUGCCCAGUCGUGGGGGAGUAACGUAGCGAAAGCUACGCUAAUACCGCAUACGAUCUACGGAUGAAAGCGGGGGAUCGCAAGACCUCGCGCGAUUGGAGCGGCCGAUGGCAGAUUAGGUAGUUGGUGGGGUAAAGGCCACCAACGCCGACGAUCUGUAGCUGGUCUGAGAGGACGACCA
rnacentral:rRNA from 1 species